AACCCUGAUGCAGCAAUGCCGCGUGAAGGAUGAAGGUUUUCGGAUUGUAAACUUCUUUUGUACGGGACGAAGAAAGUGACGGUACCGUAAGAAUAAGCCACGGCUAACUACGUGCCAGCAGCCGCGGUAAUACGUAGGUGGCAAGCGUUAUCCGGAUUUACUGGGUGUAAAGGGCGAGUAGGCGGGAUUGCAAGUCAGAUGUGAAAACUAUGGGCUCAACCGAUAGAGUGCAUUUGAAACUGCAGUUCUUGAGUGAUGGAGAGGCAGGCGGAAUUCCCGGUGUAGCGGUGGAAUGCGUAGAUAUCGGGAGGAACACCAGUGGCGAAGGCGGCCUGCUGGACAUUAACUGACGCUGAGGCGCGAAAGCGUGGGGAGCAAACAGGAUUAGAUACCCUGGUAGUCCACGCUGUAAACGAUGAUUACUAGGUGUGGGGGGACUGACCCCUUCC
rnacentral:rRNA from 1 species